UAAAGGGUCGGACGGAACUUGAGGAGCUUCUCAUUCCACAUUAUCUCUCGUAUUCUUCUAGUAUAUGUUCUUCGAGUGGCAUUAUCCUGAAAAGCAUUGAAUCGAGAUUAGGAUAGAUACAUUAUAGAGUUAAACUAUAUCGCAUGAAUUUGGAUAAUGAAAGAAGUGGAGUUUCCUAAGAAUCUUAUAGCUUCUCAUUCAUAAAUGUGGCACGCUUCACACUCAUGAAUAAGACGCUAUUCGACGUGGCUGAUGAAACUUCCUAGGACCUUUCUCAACCUUGUGCUUUGAAUACCAUGUUUGUCAGGGCCCAAAGUAUACCCUAGGCGUAACAUGGCGUAUAGGACCCCGUGAGGGCCCUACACAAGCCACUAGCAUACAUCAUACAAGAUAGUAGAAAAUCAACAAAGUUUAAACAGAUAAUUUCAAAACAUAAGAGUUGGUAAAAUGUAGCAGAAGUUUAACAUAGUCUCAAAGCCAUCUAGUAAAUCAAGAGUGAUUGGGACAUAACUCAUGUAUCACAUACAAUACUUAAAAGUAAAGAUAAUAAGAUAUAAAGGGAUCGGUCCUCGAAACAUGAGGACUCACCAAUCUAGAAUUUAUACUAAGUGAUCCCUAGCCAUAGAGAUACGAAACAGGAGCACCAGACCCUACAUUAGUGAAACAAUGUAGGCAAGAGUAUGCGUUAGUAAAUGGAAUGUACCAAGUAUGAUAGCAAUGCAUAUAAGUAUGAAAUCAUGAUAAAAUGAUCUUCCAUGUCAUUAAAGGACC
rnacentral:lncRNA from 1 species